rnacentral:rRNA from 1 species
GACCAAGAAACUAAGUUAUAUUUUUUGGUAAAAAGAUAGUUAGACAAUAAAUAAAGUUUUUAAAUUAUUUAUAAAAAGGUAAAAUUUGAUUAUAAAUUUUAAUUCUUAUAAAAACUAAAAAGUUGAAUCUAUGACAUCUUAGAAAUAAACUGGGAUUGGAUACCCCACUAUUCUUAGAUAUAAACUAAAUAUAUUAAAUUUACCAGAGUACUACGAAUAUUGUAUUUAAAACUCAAAGAACUUGGCGGUGCUUUAGACCUCUUAGGGGAACCUGUCUCAUAAUCGACAAUCCACGUUAGACCUGACCUAUUUUUGUAGUCAGCUUGUAUACCGUUGUCGUCGGGUAACUUCUUAAAAAAUUAAAGUUAGCUAGAAAAUAAUAAAUUUAUACGUCAAAUCAAGGUGCAGCUUAUAAAAAGGUGAGGAUGGGUUACAAUUAAAAAUUAUAAUUACGGAUCUUUGAAUGAAAACUCAAAGUUAAGGAGGACUUAAAAGUAAAUCUUAAUUAUAUAAAUUGCUUGAAUAAGGCUCUGAAGCGCGU